UACUGGCCUAGAAGAACUAAAUAUCUAUUGAAUGGAAAUGUAUAGUUCAGAAAAUAUAGGUCAGAGUAAUUUGCUUAGUAGAGUUGAGGUGAGGAAUCUGAGAAGGACUUUUACCUCAGUUUACCUGAGUUUCUAUCCUGUGUCAGGCUCUCCUGGAUAAUUCACACAUAUUACCUACUGCUAAAGGAUCUGAUGUAACCAAGGAAUCACUGAAGAUGAUAAUAACUUUUAAAAAUAGCAUUAAAUAUCAAGAGCACAAGAAUUUGCUAAGUCUGGAUUACAAGUGGGAAAUGCAUAAAGAUGCUGCCUAAGAAAAAUUGAGAACAAGUGGACUCACCUGCAUCGGAAUGGAGAUGGACAAUAAAACCUCGGUUGCUCGUUUGUA